AAACGACUGCUAAGACUGGUAGGAGAUAAGAAGGCAUCUUCUUAUUUUUAAAAGACCUAGCAAUAGGUAUGCUUAAGGAGGGGCUUGCGUCACAUUAGUUAGUUGGUAGGGUAAAAGCCUACCAAGACGAUGAUGUGUAGCCGGGCUGAGAGGCUGAACGGCCACAUUGGAACUGAGACACGGUCCAAACUCCUACGGGAGGCAGCAGUAGGGAAUUUUCGGCAAUGGAGGAAACUCUGACCGAGCAACGCCGCGUGAACGAUGAAGUAUUUCGAUACGUAAAGUUCUUUUAUUAGGGAAGAAAAGAUGGUGGAAAAACCAUUAUGACGGUACUUAAUGAAUAAGCCCCGGCUAACUAUGUGCCAGCAGCCGCGGUAAUACAUAGGGGGCGAGCGUUAUCCGGAAUUAUUGGGCGUAAAGGGUGCGUAGGCGGUUUAAUAAGUUUAUGGUCUAAGUGCAAUGCUUAACAUUGUGAUGCUAUAAAAACUGUUUGACUAGAGUUGGAUAGAGGCAAGUGGAAUUCCAUGUGUAGCGGUAAAAUGCGUAAAUAUAUGGAGGAACACCAUGAGCGAAGGCGGCUUGCUGGGUCUUAACUGACGCUGAGGCACGAAGGCGUGGGGAGCAAACAGGAUUAGAUACCCUGGUUGUCCACGCCGUAAACGAUGAGUACUAGACGUUGGGUUAAACCAGUGUCGAAGUUAACACAUUAAGUACUCCGCCUGAGUAGUACGUACGCAAGUAUGAAACUUAAAGGAAUUGACGGGACUCCGCACAAGCGGUGGAUCAUGUUGUUUAAUUCGAAGGUACCCGAAAAACCUCACCAGGUCUUGACAUGCUUCUGCAAAGCUGUAGAAAUACAGUGGAGGUUAUCAGUUGCACAGGUGGUGCAUGGUUGUCGUCAGCUCGUGUCGUGAGAUGUUGGGUUAAGUCCCGCAACGAGCGCAACCCUUGUUGUUAAUUGCCAUCAUUAAGUUGGGGACUUUAGCAAGACUGCCAGUGAUAAAUUGGAGGAAGGUGGGGACGACGUCAAAUCAUCAUGCCCCUUAUGACCUGGGCUACAAACGUGAUACAAUGGCUGUUACAAAGGGUAGCUGAAGCGCAAGCUUUUGGCAAAUCUCAAAAAAACAGUCUCAGUUCGGAUUGAAGUCUGCAACUCGACUUCAUGAAGUUGGAAUCGCUAGUAAUCGCGAAUCAGCAUGUCGCGGUGAAUACGUUCACGGGGUUUGUACACACCGCCCGUCAUG
rnacentral:rRNA from 1 species